UGAGGAAUAUUGGUCAAUGGACGGAAGUCUGAACCAGCCAUGCCGCGUGAAGGAUGAAGGCGUUCUGCGUUGUAAACUUCUUUUAUCUGGGAAGAAACCACAGAUUUCUAUUUGUGUUGACGGUACCAGAGGAAUAAGCACCGGCUAACUCCGUGCCAGCAGCCGCGGUAAUACGGAGGGUGCGAGCGUUAUCCGGAUUUACUGGGUUUAAAGGGUGCGUAGGCGGGCUAUUAAGUCAGAGGUGAAAUCUCCGGGCUCAACCUGGAAACUGCCGUUGAUACUAUUAGCCUUGAAUUAUUUUGAGGUUGGCGGAAUAUAUCAUGUAGCGGUGAAAUGCUUAGAUAUGUUAUGGAACACCGAUUGCGAAGGCAGCUGGCUAAACAUAUAUUGACGCUGAUGCACGAAAGCGUGGGUAGCGAACA
rnacentral:rRNA from 1 species